rnacentral:tRNA from 1 species
GGAGAGGUGGCCGAGCGGUCGAAGGCGCACGCCUGGAAAGUGUGUAUACGGCAACGUAUCGAGGGUUCGAAUCCCUCCCUCUCCGCCA